UACGUAGGGUGCAGGCGUUAAUCGGAAUUACUGGGCGUAAAGCGUGCGUAGGCGGUUUCUUAAGUCAGAUGUGAAAGCCCCGGGCUUAACCUGGGAACUGCGUUUGAAACUGGGAGACUUGAGUGUGGCAGAGGGGGGUGGAAUUCCACGUGUAGCAGUGAAAUGCGUAGAUAUGUGGAGGAACACCAAUGGCGAAGGCAGCCCCCUGGGUCAACACUGACGCUCAUGCACGAAAGCGUGGGGAGCAAACAGG
rnacentral:rRNA from 1 species